rnacentral:lncRNA from 1 species
AUCCUGCAGGUACCACCCUCCAAAUAAAAUAAAUAAAAGGAAGCACUUAAUUUACACUCAUCCACCUAGAAAUAGAAACUCAUAUUUUAUGCAUCAAAUUUCAUAUUUUUGAAGUGUCAAAUAUUAUAUAGAGAAACAAAGUCCUUCAAACAACUGGUUAUUGGGCACCCUCAUAAGCAAAUAAAUUAAAUGGAUCCCCCAAACAAGAUUUUCCCACCGCCACAGAAUCCAACCUCUCCUUCGUAGCUGCCGUGGGAUUGAGCCUCAUUGCGACCAUCAAAGUCUUGGCCAUUUAUCCCCUAGAUCGCAUUUCUCUUAUGUCUCUACACCCAAUGUCAGAUCUAUUGGGUCAUCAACGAAUCUAAUGAUUUUAGAGAGAGGGUAGAUGAUAGAGAAGAGUAUAAUAAGGAUAAGGAUAUUUAUAAAAAAAUUUUAAAAAAAAA